rfam:Picea glauca, whole genome shotgun sequence.
ACAUGCUUACAUCAUAGCGUUAAUGCACCAGAUCCCUUUAAAACUCCGCAGUUAAGAGCACUUAGGCUAGAGUAGUACUGGGAUGGUUGACUGCCCAGGAAGUUCUAAUGUUUUACAUUCC